UACGGAGGGCCCGAGCGUUAAUCGGAAUUACUGGGCUUAAAGGGAGCGUAGGCGGCUCCGCAAGUACCUUGUGAAAUCCCACGGCUCAACCGUGGAAUUGCUUGGUAAACUGCGGGGCUUGAGCCCGGCAGAGGCCAUCGGAACUCUAGGUGGAGCGGUGAAAUGCGUAGAUAUCUAGAGGAACGCCAAAGGCGAAAGCAGAUGGCUGGGCCGGCGCUGACGCUGAGGCUCGAAAGCGUGGGGAGCGAACCGG
rnacentral:misc_RNA from 1 species